GGGCCCGUAGUCUAGCUUGGUUUAGGACUCCAGCUUGGGGUGUUGGAAACCUGUGUUCAAAGCCUUUUGGACAUUUCCGUCCAAAAGCCUUUAGGGAAAGUACGCCUUCCGGCGUAUGAGAAAAUCACAGCGGGCCCACCA
rnacentral:tRNA from 1 species